rnacentral:rRNA from 1 species
GUUUGAUCCUGGCUCAGGAUGAACGCUAGCGACAGGCUUAACACAUGCAAGUCGAGGGGCAGCACGAUGUAGCAAUACAUUGGUGGCGACCGGCGCACGGGUGAGUAACGCGUAUGCAACCUACCUAUCAGAGGGGAAUAACCCGGCGAAAGUCGGACUAAUACCGCAUAAAACAGGGGUUCCACAUGGAAAUAUUUGUUAAAGAAUUAUCGCUGAUAGAUGGGCAUGCGUUCCAUUAGAUAGUUGGUGAGGUAACGGCUCACCAAGUCCACGAUGGAUAGGGGUUCUGAGAGGAAGGUCCCCCACACUGGUACUGAGACACGGACCAGACUCCUACGGGAGGCAGCAGUGAGGAAUAUUGGUCAAUGGGCGAGAGCCUGAACCAGCCAAGUCGCGUGAAGGAUGAAGGAUCUAUGGUUUGUAAACUUCUUUUAUAUGGGAAUAAAGUGAGGAACGUGUUCCUUUUUGUAUGUACCAUAUGAAUAAGCAUCGGCUAACUCCGUGCCAGCAGCCGCGGUAAUACGGAGGAUGCGAGCGUUAUCCGGAUUUAUUGGGUUUAAAGGGUGCGUAGGUGGUUAAUUAAGUCAGCGGUGAAAGUUUGUGGCUCAACCAUAAAAUUGCCGUUGAAACUGGUUGACUUGAGUAUAUUUGAGGUAGGCGGAAUGCGUGGUGUAGCGGUGAAAUGCAUAGAUAUCACGCAGAACUCCGAUUGCGAAGGCAGCUUACUAAACUAUAACUGACACUGAAGCACGAAAGCGUGGGGAUCAAACAGGAUUAGAUACCCUGGUAGUCCACGCAGUAAACGAUGAUUACUAGCUGUUUGCGAUACACAGUAAGCGGCACAGCGAAAGCGUUAAGUAAUCCACCUGGGGAGACGCCGGCAACGGUGAAACUCAAAGGAAUUGACGGGGGCCCGCACAAGCGGAGGAACAUGUGGUUUAAUUCGAUGAUACGCGAGGAACCUUACCCGGGUUUGAACGCAUAUUGACAGCUCUGGAAACAGAGUCUCUAGUAAUAGCAAUUUGCGAGGUGCUGCAUGGUUGUCGUCAGCUCGUGCCGUGAGGUGUCGGCUUAAGUGCCAUAACGAGCGCAACCCUUAUCACUAGUUACUAACAGGUCAUGCUGAGGACUCUAGUGAGACUGCCAGCGUAAGCUGUGAGGAAGGUGGGGAUGACGUCAAAUCAGCACGGCCCUUACAUCCGGGGCGACACACGUGUUACAAUGGUGGGGACAAAGGGCAGCUACCGUGUGAGCGGAUGCGAAUCUCCAAACCCCAUCUCAGUUCGGAUCGAAGUCUGCAACCCGACUUCGUGAAGCUGGAUUCGCUAGUAAUCGCGCAUCAGCCAUGGCGCGGUGAAUACGUUCCCGGGCCUUGUACACACCACCCGUCAAGCCAUGGGAGUUGGGGGUACCUAAAGUCCGUAACCGCAAGGAUCGGCCUAGGGUAAAACCGAUGACUGGGGCUAAGUCGUAACAAGGUAGCCGUACCGGAAGGUGCGGCUGGAACACCUCCUUUCUGGAGCGCAGAGUUCGUUAUCAAGUUGACUCAGAGGUAUUAGUUAACUUGUACUACGGUUGAAUAUGUAUAAAAUAUAGAUCUACCGGCAAUAAAGUGUCGGCAAGAGAGAAAAAUGAUGCUGAGGGAAACCAAGGCAAAGUUGACAGUCCUAUAGCUCAGUUGGUUAGAGCGCUACACUGAUAAUGUAGAGGUCGGCAGUUCAACUCUGCCUGGGACUACAGAAUCUCUAAGAGAGAAUUUUGGGGGAUUAGCUCAGCUGGCUAGAGCAUCUGCCUUGCACGCAGAGGGUCAACGGUUCGAAUCCGUUAUUCUCCACAAAAAGUUACCGAGACAUCAGAAACGUAAAGUAACGACAAGAUCUUUGACAUGAUGGACAACGUAAAAUAAAGUAACAAGAGCAAGCUGAAGAUAUAUCAAUCCGAUUUACCCCUGUGGUAACCGGAAAUAAGAAAGUAAGCAAGGGCAGACGGUGGAUGCCUUGGC